CGUUUUGCCUCCUCCCCUCCCACAUUCUGCUCUUCCUCUCUCUCUCUCUCUCUCUCUCUCUCUCUCUCUCUCUCUCUACUGUAAAAAUUUCUUCCAUGUCUCCCUGCGCGAAGCAUGAAGUUAGCGUUGCGUCUACUCGCUAAACUCUUCCUCCAGAUCGGUCCUUCCGAGUUCUUCAGCCCCGUCUCGAUCUCCGAUCCGUUGUACUGUCGCCAUCCUGCGAAAUUGAGCUUCCGCGGUCGCAGUUUCCGGAGAACUUUGAUUCUUUGAGCUGACCAGUUACGCAACCGUCAGCUUUGUGCUCGGGUCGCUCCAGGCGAUGUUUCGCUUUGAUUUGGAUGCUGUUCGGUCCGUUUGGUGCCGUAUCGACGAUCCCGUAUACAUACUCAGCUCACAUGGUGUUUACAUCAGCUACGGGGAUCUGUUAUCUGCUUGGCUAGCGAGAAAAUGGCGGAAAGGAAAACGAACUAUGAGGACGAAGAAGAGGCUUCGGUUCAAAGGACAUGCAUUACUAGUGCUCAGGUUAGAACUGAUUAUACUUGAUUUGCUGUGAAUCCUACUAUUAUCGAUCAUAUAUAUUAUCCAUCGCAUCCCGUGGUUUCGGUAAAUCGAGUAUACCUUCCGUCCUGGCUAUAUUGUUUAAUGUUUUCUCAACUGUAGUUGAGUUUGAAUGGUUUGGCUUAGAAACUUGGAGCACGGUUUGCUUUUUUUCUUAUUUAUAUUUUUGUUUUAUUUUACCAUACACGGCAGUUCAUAUUAUAUUGAUAGGGUUACAUUGAGUUCUUUAGAUCAAAAUUAUAUCACCUUAUCGAUUUACGUAUGGAGAAGCUACUCUUAUUGAGCAAAUAGCUCUAUCAGAUUGAGUUGUGAUUCGUAUAAUUUUAUUCUAAUGGAGGAAAAAUGCGUCUACUGCAUAGACAAGGCUUUUUGAUGGUCAGUUUUCUUAUAUUGAUUCUAUGUACUUGAUACAGCUGAUUAGGUUUGUUGGUAUUUGGUGGUAUAAGUGCAAGAUCAUUGUUCAUGCACUACCCAUGGACAAAAUAUACCAUGAAAAGAUUUAAACUCAUAAUAAGUAUAAUCUUUUUUGAAAAUUCACUUCAUAAAUAGAUGGUCCCUUCGGCAUUCAUCUAUCAAUUUCUUCAUUUCAUCAUACAUUUUUAGGUACGAUAUGAUCUCUCUUGCUUUUUUGUGAUGGUGGGAGUGUUGGAGUGCCAAUCUUUGGGAGGAACGAAAAGAUGCAUAUUGUUAAAGAGAAUGUUUUAGUCAUUCUUGUGCUGUUAUUUAGCAAGUUGUGACCACUGUUUUCUUCUUAUCAUAACAGUUUUUAUUCAGAUAGCUAUCAGUUGGAAGAAUUUUUACUUGAUUAGAAAAUAUUAGUGGCACUACUCUUGAAUACAAAGUAAAAAGCAUUAAAUUAGUACAACCAUUGAGCCAUUUACUUUUAACUUAAGAUAUGUUAACAUAAAAUCAAGGUCAUCUGAUCCGUGCGUAGGAUAACUGUUUGCUUAAAACUUCAGAAUUAUGUGAAGCUUUUUAAGAGAUUGGAAAUUUCUCUUGUACAGCACAUUAGUUAUGGCUAUAGAUUGCAAAGCCCAGUCAUACUAAACCAAAGAAUACCAAACCAAAGAAUAAUACAAUGCAUGGAGCAGAUUCCACUUAUAUUGGUGCGGUUGCAUGAUUUGAAUCACAGAUUAGUUGUAUUAAGUGGCUUAAUUCCAUUGCGCCCUGGCGUAAGGAAAAUGGCCUUUCACAAUUUGUAAUUGAUCCUUGUAUGCUUCAAGUCAAAGAGUUGACAAUCAACGUGAAAGUGAGUAAAUAACACAUUUGAAAAUUUACUGGUGCUAGAGCUGCAUCAGUUUAGCAGCUCGGAGGACUUAGAUGGGUAUUUUUUAUGUCGAACUUAAUGAAUUCGUGGAUAAUUUUGAGUUCAUCUUUCCUCUGCUUACUUUUGGGGCCCUAACUUAUUAGAGACUUAUAUUUGUGUUGGUCUAAUGUGUCUACCUGUUAUAAGCUCUUAUGAAAUGGUUGCUCACUCAAAGAUAUAACCAUGACUAAGAUCUUGGCACUUGAGAUACUUGUACCUUGUUGUUGCGUGCACUUCAUGGGAUUUUGAUGUUUUCUUAUGUGAUCUGAUUAAUCUAUUAGCAUUUCUAGAGGUGAAUUAGCUCUUGUUUGAAAAGUUCUAGUUGCUCCUAAUCAAUUACUAGUGUUUAAGACUGGAUUGAUUUCAUCUAUAAUUGGUGCCACCCUUCUGAAUACAUCUGAUUUGGGUCAUUUUUUGUGGAAGAAACGUGUGCUCACUCCACUGUAGAGGUAUUCAAAGGAAUUAUGUGUAACAUUGCGCUUAGAUUUUGGUAAUGAUCUGAAAGUAGCACUUGAUAUGUCAUGUCUAAAGAAUUUGUGCUCUUUGAAGGCAUUUUAAUAUAGCUCCUGGACCUUGAGGGAUGGUUCGAUUCUUAUUGUUCAAUAGCUGCCUGUAUAUUACCUUCUAUGAGCAUAGAGGAAGAAAUGACCUUCAUUUUUUUAUCCAUACUUUUAUAAUGAUCCUUACAUGCUAUUUUGCUCGAUCAAGAUUAGUUUUGUUGAAAGAGGAAUAAUAUUUUAAGGAACUAAUUUAUGUAUUGCUUGUUGAUGUGAUCGUAUCUAAGUUCAGGCGUUUUUCUAGAGCAAGCAAAAAUUCCUAGGCAGUUUAUGCUAAGUUAUUGAUCUCUCGCUGCUCGUGAACACCUUUUUCACUUCUAGAAAAAAUUACCAACAUUGUUUUGACACGUGGUGAUUGAUUUAUGCCUCCAUUUGGUUUCAAAACUCUAAUUAUGUCAUUCCUCAUUUGCUGCUGUAGAAUUUCUUUUGCUUUCAAGAAAACUUCAACAUUAUUUAAGUGGAGCUACAAUUUUUUACACAAACAGUUGGUUUCAGUAGCCAAGAUAACUGAUUAGGUGAUGUCAUUUGUAAUGUUGCAUUGUCUAGGAUUCUCUUGACUUUACAAGCUAGACAGCUUUGGACGUCUUCUGAUUUUCACCAAAGGGAGCAACAUGAUUUUAUGUUUGGUGGUGUAUCAUCAUUCUCCUUUUUGCUUAUCAAGUGUCAUCUUUUCUUAGCAUAAUCAACAUUUUAGUCCAUAAAAAAUUCACAUGCGAAGAAUAGUUGUGGAAAUACUACCAUGUCACACAUGGCUAAUCAUGGACUGAGGUUUAUGAUCAAUCUCACUAAAAAAAAAAGACAAAAAAAAAUGUUCAAUGUUAUCCGUAAAUAAAACUUCUGUCAAUAUUGCACUGAGCAUGGUCAUAAUAGAACAAUGUCAGUGAAACUAUUCUUCGCAACUAAAUGAAUAACUGAAUGAGAAUUUGCAUUUGUUCAGCCUCUAAGUAAUCAAUAUAGUGACCACCUUAACGAGACAAGGAUGGUAUCAUUGGGCUACAAUAUAAAAGGGAAAGUAUAGAGCAGCCGCCAUAUUUUUACUGCAACUAGUAACCAUCAGAUAAAGGAGAUGUUCGCUUACAAGUGGGUUUUGAUGUCAAAUGUGCUUUCUUGUGAAUGAAUGUUUCCGGAUUUGGGUAGUACUGAUGGGAAGUAUAACGCCCUGGGACAGUAAACUGACGGUUUUCCAUUGACAGAAACUUGAAAACUACAUGAAUAUUUUAUACUUUGACGGUUGGGGGAUGAUUCCCUGUUUUGGGUUCAUGAUAGACAUGUACUCAUCCACUUAAAACCUCCAUAAAAGUGGAGAUGAAUCAAGUAUUUUAGCAUAAUUCUGGCAGGAUAGAACUCAUAGAUUAUUCUUGUUGUCAGAGAAUUAUGCAAGGUUGAUCCUCUGAUCUGCUUCUGAUGAGAUUUUGUCAUCUAUCUCAAGUUUUGUUUCUACUGAGGUAGCCUGUGACAUUUGCCUUAGUCUUAUAGGACUGCCAGUCUACUCAAUAUAUGCACUGGCGUCGCUGUAAAUUAUAAAAUGGCCAGAAUAUCUUGUGGUUUCUUCGUCAGACUUCUUAUAUUUGAUGAUAUAAUACAGUUGUUUCCUAGAGAUUGCCAGAUGCUGAUCUGGCCUAAACGGAUUGAUUUGUUUCAUAUCUGAACAUGGUUGACGGGAGCCUCAACCAUUUGCUCCUGGUGGAUUUGUCAUUAUAAGGCUUAGGCUAUUUGCCUGAUAAUCCAUUUGAUUUGCCUACCAGAAUUCAGAUGGCCAUAUUUACUUGUUCAGAGGAAUUGUCUCCUUAUUUUGUUAAAAAAUGGAUCACACGCUUAUCUAAAGCCUUCUGCAGAAAAAUCCAACCCCAUAGAUUCUUUCUUUGCAUUGUAAAAUCAAUGGAAUUCAGCGGCUUCUUUUUUAGUUUUCGUUUUGCCCAGCAAGUAACGCUGGAUUUCCAUUCAAAUCUGCCCGUUUAGUUAUUUCUUUCCUCAGCUAGAGAUGCCUCUAUGUAAGUGGAUGCUCCUUUGGGUAAAAAAAUGCCGCCCCACUUGCUCCAAGUUCAUUGAUCAGGACUAGUUUUAUUUGUGAAUGCAUUACUUCUCUUGAUAUAUAAUUUCAUGCUUCCUGUUCCCUUCCUUACGGUGGGAAAUUACUGCGCAUUGGGCGCUUAUGAGGCUUACAUUGGUAUAUAUUCACCUUUCAUAUGUUAUUGAUGUCAAAGAGUUUUGCUGUCUCAUACUAUUCGUUUAGUGAAAUAUGGUAGUUCCUUCAUACUCUGUCCUCCCAAGGAUAGGCAACUGAAUUAUAGAUGUCUAAUUCAUGGUUCCUUGUCGUAGAUCACAUGUCUUCUCAAAUUUAUUAUGUGAGUGAUUCAUACCUCUCUUGUUGCCACAUUCUCAUCCCUGCAUUCAUGAGGUUACCUUCAUCAGAAAAUUUUCUUUUGUGCCAGUAAGCUUGCUUGUCACUGUCCUGUGAAGUAGUGCUCUUUGCUAAAACAGACUCAACCUGUCAAAAGAAGUCGAUGCUUGCUGGCAAUAUUUAUAUCUAGGAAUAUUUGAUGGGGAUUGUCAAAGUAUCUUUUGCGCUCUGAUUCAGAGAUGGCAUUACUUUCUUGGAAGUUUGCAAUGUGCUCUUGAAUCAAGUUAAUUAUAGUCAUUCGUGCUUGCAGACUAUUGUUAUAAUGAAGAUUGGUUCAUCUGUUGUUUGAGGCAACUCUGAUUUAUUUUAAUAUAAGUGAUUAUGGAUUGAUGAUAAAUAUCGAUUAAAUUCAUUAGAAGGUUUCAUAAAAAAUUAUGCAAAAGAAAAAGUUCUGAACUUCCAUAGCUACUCUGAUAUAUAUAUAUAUAUAUAUAUAUAUAGAGGAUAAAACUAACUAUAUGGUAAUCGUAGUUCCAGGAUAAUCCAAUUCUAUUCAAAUCAAUUAACUAUAAUGCAAAUAUUGGUUUAAAAUGGACUAUGACUGAAUCUGCUUUUAGCUUUUGGAUUUGUUUCCAGCCUAUACGUGCUUGUAGAUUUUUACCUCUCCUUUCAUCAAGCUGCUGGGUAAAGAAUGAUGCUGAGACACUGUGAAUUGAAAUACUUUUGUUCGCACAUCAAGCAUACCCUUUUAUGCAGAGAAACAGUGCUGCUUUCUGUUGUUACAAGAUUGUUGUUUAUGUUAUUGUUUCUUAGCCCUGCUACUGGUGGAUAAAACCGUCGGGUAACAGGAAAUUGCUUUCACCAAUAGAUAGUGCCAUACUUGUUCAAGCAGAUAGGACAUAAUAUGCUUCCUGGGUAGUCCAUGAGGUCUUUGGUUUGAAUACCCUCUUGCACAUGUAGCCCCUGGUGAGGCCACUUAUCAAAAAAAGGAAAUAAAGAAAAAGGAACAAACUUUUUGUUAUGAAUUUAUAUAAUUUAAUCAAUCUAAGCUGUGUGUUUAAAUUUUAAUUUACCUUAAAAUCUCAAAUGAAUAUAUUUAAAAGAUAAAAAGGUUAUCAUCGAUCAAAUGAACUAGUCUCUAACAUUUUUGGCUGGUGAUGCCAUAUUCAACUUAAUUAAUCGAGUUCACUGGCUGAGCCACGUAUAACCCACCUGUAUUAUUCUGUUGAUGUGGGGAAGUUAGCUUCUUGGAUUCUUUAGAUAUUUUGGGAGAAACGCAUGCCUAAUGGGUCUUCAAAAGGAAUUUCCUUUGUCAAAGCCUUCUAUCUUUCAAACUCCAAGCCUGGAAACAGCACAAAACCCAUUGCAUAAUUGUUAUGUUAGGCGAAGAAUAAAUGUAUCACUGUUUAGAAAACUGGAUAAAUUUUCUGAGGAACUAAACUGAUAGUUAUUUGUAAGAACACCUUUAGACAGAUGGACCAUACACUGUGUGACCAAAAUACAGUAGUACUAGGAAAACAAAGGAUAGAGGUGCAGUAUUUAAUGAGAUAGUGGCUAUAACUGGACUCUCAUUGUCUGUGAAAUAUAUGCAAAGCGUGCUUUUACAAACUUUUCGCAGCUUUUAUUCCUCCUAGAGUUUGUUUCCCUUUUGCAGAUUCUUUAUUGCACAUGCCAGUUAAUUAAGUAUUUGUUCAGUAGUACUUCAGAGCUUCUUAGUCUUUGAGCGCAGCAAGCAUUGUCGUCAGAGACAUGGCACACACUUGGAGGUAUGUGAUGUGAUCUAAUAAAAAUUGACAAUUAGAUGUUAAUAUGAUAACAUAGUACAAUUAAUUAUUGUAGUUUUCAUCUCUGUUAAUUUAGAUUCAUAUUGGCAUCUUUUUUUUUCGCUUGAAAGAUUCAUAGUGGCAUCAGCUUGUUACAUUGUUGUCCCCUUUAUUCUUCUCUAUGUGCAUAGCAUUACUAUUGAGGAUUAUAUCAUAUUCCGAAUUCUUGCCAUCUGUGAUCAUGUGCAUAUAUGAAAUAUACGGCAAAGAAGUGACGAAAUAACAACUGAAAUGAGCUCCUGAGGGUUUAUCCCUGGGAAUGCCUUCAAAAAAAUUUGGUAGGUUCUCUUUGGGCAAAGAAUAAGAAAAUUGCUCCAGAUUUUCUCAACCAUAUAGAGCGUUUGGUCUUCUGCUUUUAAUUACUACGAGGUCCAAUGCUACAUCACUUUCUUCAAAUAACUUCAUAAAAAUUGAAAUGGGGUUACAGCUGAAAGUCUCAGAUGCAAUUUCUCGGUGGUGAAUUAUUGCUUUACAGUGUCAUCUUAGACUAAGUGAUGACUGUUUCCAAUAUAGUUCAGAUAAGUGGUUGCAAACAGCAUCUUUAGUAACACAAGGUUCUUUUUUUUCUUUUUUUUUUCUCUCUCUCUCUUCCCCCCUUCCCUCUCUUUUUCGGGUGACUUCCUGCCAUGGAGUCAUGGACAAUGUCAUAGUCACAUGGCUUGAAGGGACUACUAUGAACAAACCUAAAACAGUCAAUUCAAACUUAAGCAUGAUCUUGAAAGAUACGUGGCUCACAUACAACAUCACCAGUCAUAAAAGCUUAACUGCAUGGGCAACUUGACUGAAAGCAGGUCCCAGCCAUCUGCAAUGAGUAUGUUGUACCGGCUAGUGCAGUUGUAGUCUGCUGCAGUUAUCACAGGAAUUUGCUUUGAUUAGUAUUCAUAGUGAAGUUGGAUCUGAAACUAAGAAGAGUUUUUGGAGAAAUACAUACCCCAAAUCGGUAGCUCUAGCUGGGUUGUCACAACUCUGCUGAUGUGGUUGGCUGAGCUGGAGGUGGAUGGGGGCAUGGGGGUCAUCAACGACGGCCAGAUCUUUGAUGAGAAGAUUUCUAUUUGCUCCAUUCGCUUCACUUGAUCCGCUGAAUUGGAUUUGAAACUUCUCCAUUGAAGUUGCCUGAGAAAAAUGUCUCUGCUUAGAAAGGGUUUUGUUGAGGUUUAAAAAAUUAGUUAAUCAGAUAGACGUUUUUCCUUUUGUCUGAUAAGUGCAUUUUAUUGAAUCCCAAAACACAUAAAAAGUCAGAACAUUAGUCAUAGCUGGAAUAAUAGCUAGACAAAACUAACAAAUUAUGUCAACUCCGUUAAACGAAAUUCAUAUGAACAAUAGCUAGCCAGAAAGAGUAGGCACUUUGAAAGUGAGGUUUUACAGGGUAACUAUAUUUUACUUAUCAUUAUUAUUUCUAGUAAAUAUUCAAAUACAUACCUUUUUGUACAAUUCCAUGUUUUCCUGUCGAAAUAUGUUUACCUUCUUGUUCAACUCGGAGUUUUCCUGGUGAAGAAGGCUUCUCUGCACAAGGAACAACAAUAUUUAGUUUUCUCAACCGGCACAGAUAGGUGAAAACUGUAAUCUGUUUCAGAUUUAGAAACCUUUCUGUCCAGCUCUUUUAUUUCUUCCAGUAAAAGUUGGUCCUACAAAAGUGAAAUAUCAUACAUUAAAUGCAAGUCCUUUUCCAGCAAGUCAGAAAUUUUAAGAUGAGCUUUUGUGUGGGUCUGUGUAAACCUUUUUCACACGGACUCCACGGAUACUUAUUUCCAAUUGGUUCUCCAAUCUUUGCAGAUCUUUGACGCUCAAGCCAGAAAGUUCUUCUCCCAUCAUUUGCCUAUCAUUUUUUUUCCAACAACAUCCACUUAACUUGAAACAUCUGGACUUAAAAUUAUUGUAUGAAACUAUGCAGUGAAAGAAGGUUCCUGUAGAAGUAUAUACAUCAAAGAAAGAUGCCAAGGGAAAGGGAAAAAACAAAAAAGUGCUGAUCCUUAUUCACUAGAUAGUCCAUUUAAAGGGAUAUCAGAAUGUCUUUUUACAUCAACAAAUGCAUAUGAGGUUUUUACAUCAUACUAUUAAGCCAAGUUCUUGCUUGCAUAUUUACAAUUGAAGCUGGAGGAAACUAUAUAAGAUCCCUCUGUGUGAAUCCCGAAAUGCAGCUUGGAAACCUAAGGUAUCCUGAGAACCUAAGUGUUACGAAAGUUUCAAAUAUCACAAGCAUACACAAAAAUUGUUAGCUUAUUGCCGAUUUUGAUUUCAAAUGCUAUCAUAAUCAUCAUGAUUUGUCUGGGUUUCAUAGAGUUUGCUGUACGACUAUUUUUCCUUUUAUUGAUAAAGUUUGGAAAAUAUGGUCAAAUUUCAUGUGCUCAGCAGGCAUACUACUGCAAUGUGCAGCUCAAAUCAUUAAUAGAGAGACAGCUGUAACUUUACGAAAUGCUGCAAUCUAGAAAACUAGAUUGCAAGCCAGAAUUUUAUCACUAAUCUAAAAGGAAGAGCCCUUGUGUGAUGGAGAUAUCGAAAAGGAGUGAGCAAGUCACAAUUUCUCAUAUAGCUCCUCAAAUGCCAGAGAACCAGCUGCAUUAUAGUGUCAUCUUCAAUUGUGAAAUGAUACUGUUAUUUUCUUCUGGGUAUCAAAGUUUUAGUAUAAUAUAUGUACUUGAAUGAAAACAAGACGUACCUAUGAUUCUCUUGCAGAUUCUGAAGCUGUUGCCGUAACAUAGCUGCCUCCCUUCGCCAAAACUGCCAAGCAAUAUGAAUUAUUUUCAUUCCCCCCUCAGCAACAUACUAUCUAUGCAGAUUGUUACCUAGUGGGCAAUAGAAUUAUGAUGGCCAAAUGCUUGCCAUAGGAUGGUACAAAAGAUCAGCACACACAUGAAUUGGUUAACAUAUAUAUAUGUUAAAUAUUCAUAGUUCUCUGUGCAUUGUCGUAUGACAGGACCCUGCGCAUGCUCACGCGGUCCACCUCAAAACAGUGCCUUGGUAAGUGAAGGGGCUAAAAUAAAGGUCUGCUUCUGGUCAUAUAUAUGCUUGUGUUGUGAAAAAGAAUGAGUUCGUGCUUCUCCAUUUCCCACUCCACUUUAUUUUAUUAAUUUUAUUUUGUUGGGGGGGGGGAGAAUUUCUUUAAUCCUUCACAUAUUGGGUUAAGUGUUUAGCUGAAUAUGAUCAGUUUAGUUAUUGUGCUUUUUGCGGUUUUGGGUAUCUUUAAGGUAACUUCUCUUCAAGCAAACAUUCCCUGACCGAUCAAGAAAACAUGCUCUUAGUAUCUUUAUGCUUCUAUAUAGGUUUUACGCCUGCUUAUUUGUCUCUGCCUUGUCAAGGAUGCCUUCUUCCUUAAAGAUGUCAUAUAUGGUGGUUCAUAUCAACAUUUUCAUGCCUAAUCCACUAAUUAUACUGUCAAAUUCCAUAAAAUGUUGAAAAGAUAGGCAUUGCAAUGAGCAAUACUUCAGAUGCCAUAUGUGCAAUGAUGAAAAACAGAAAGAAUUGACAUAAUAGAAGUAUACCUUCACUUCAUUCAUUGGGUUUAUCAUUUGAAGAUGAUCCUCCUUCGCUUUGUUGUAUCUCUCGAUUACCGAGUUCAUACUGUUUGGAAAAACAAGUCAUUGGGCAUUAGGGCACUAUCAUGUCGGACAUCAGAAAAUUCACACACAGUGAGUAUUGACACACGCAGAAAACAGGCCCUUAGGAUCCGAUAAUGCCUCGGACCUUCAGAUGCAUUAUGUGAGCUGCUCUGUCUUAUGGAUCUACAGGGAAAACAAAACUCUAGCUCUGCUGGGUUUCGAGAGUCAGGUAUUGUUCUUUCCCAUUUUAUCUGUAGGCAAAAUCCUCCUGUAUGCUUAUCCAAAAACAAUCCUAAUGUACGUAGUCUUUUAGCUCCUCCUUGAAUUCGUAAAGUCGGAUAUAACAACCUCUAGUGAAUCAAUACUCGCGUGCUUUUGUUCUGUUAUAUUCUCAGCAAGAAACAAUUCGAACUGCUGUGUUACGAGCAAAAGCAAAUCCGUAGAGAAGCAAGUUCUACGGGGCUGUCCUGCAAAUGAAGCUUUUGUUCAAGUAUAAUUUUCUAUAUCCAGGCCUGGUUUAAACUAA